GAUGAACGCUGGCGGCGUGCCUAAUACAUGCAAGUCGAGCGAACGGACGAGAAGCUUGCUUCUCUGAUGUUAGCGGCGGACGGGUGAGUAACACGUGGAUAACCUACCUAUAAGACUGGGAUAACUUCGGGAAACCGGAGCUAAUACCGGAUGAUAUUUUGAACCGCAUGGUUCAAAAGUGAAAGACGGUCUUGCUGUCACUUAUAGAUGGAUCCGCGCUGCAUUAGCUAGUUGGUAAGGUAACGGCUUACCAAGGCAACGAUGCAUAGCCGACCUGAGGGGGGGAUCGGCCCACUGGGAAAUGGGAAACGGCCCCAACCCCUGAGGGGGGCAGGAGUAGGAAACCUUCCGGAAGGGGCAAAAGCCUAAAGGGGAAACCGCGCGGGAGUGAUGAAGGUCUCUGGAGCGUAAAACUUUGUUAUUGGGGAAGAACAUAUGUGUAAUUAACGGGGCAAAUAUGGCGGGACCCUAAUAAGAAACCCCCGGUAACUUCGUG
rnacentral:rRNA from 1 species